UCAGCAGCUGCUAGGAAUUAAAUUAGAGGAAGGGGGGGAGGCAGGACUGAUGAAGAGUAUCAAUCAUUCUGUCUCUCGUGUGAAGUUAUUUUGUGGGUAGACAGAAUGGGCAAUAAUGAAAGCUCACUUGUUUUCACCACAUAGGGCUUGUGGAUGAAUUUAGCUCAGCAAGGGAUGGAUGGAAGAAAGAAAGAAAGAAAGAAGGAAAGAAAUAUAAAAGGAAGCAAAAGUGCCAUUUUCUCCUCUGCACAUUAUUGCUUCCACUCCUGGAUGUCCCGGGGUGCAGGUCAAACUAUGCCAUUGCAUGUUGUCAGGACCACUUCUCUUCAUCUCCAGCUCAGCAGGAUUUGCCAGAUGCCAAAAGGGUCGCAGUGUGAAGGACUGCUGUUGUUGAAUCCGUGUGGGCGGACUGUGGUAACUCAAGACUGCAAUUGUGAUGUGGGAUUUAAUGACGCUUCACUUUGGGCAGCACUAAUUAUGCAUGCAGGCAACCUGGCUGCCGGUGAUACUCCCUGGAUUCGGAGUGCAAUUAAGGUGCCGUGAUGCCCAGGAUCUCUAGACAAACACAGUUCUGCAGAGGGCUAUGGACAAGAUUAGAGCUUAUUUGACAUGAAAAAAGAGAGUCCACUUUCACCAUUCAUUUUCUAAAGUGAUUCCAAAAUCAAAAAUGAUAUCCAAAAUAUGAAAAUAAAUGAGAGAAAUAUGGCUUCCAGAUUUUACAUCAAGGAUGAAUAAUGACUUUUUACUCAUGUCGAUGAUAAAUAAUCACUUUCUAUAUCAGUGUCAUAUCCAUUACACAUAAGAACAUCCUUCCCCUCUGCCCGUGGAUGAUUUAUCCUUAGGGAAAGAAUGUAGUCUCAUUUAAUCAUUCUAGAUGUUUAAUUAAACUAAAUGAAAAUGGUUAAUACUACA